rnacentral:lncRNA from 1 species
GCUACCCCUCCUUUUGGUUCUCUUUCAAGUCCUUCAGGUUCAAACAAUACAGAAGUGUAUAAAGUAAGAAUUGGAAGUCUCUUCGCUGCUCUAAUCUCACUCCUCAGAGGUGAUCACUGAUUAUCAUCCCAGAGCCCUCCCUGAAGCCCACACACAGCUUCUUCAGGAAAUGCUGACAGCAUGGUAUACACAUGGCUUCCAUGUUUGUCAUGGUUCCAAAGUUUGCUUUUGAAAGAG